GAUGAACGCUGGCGGCGUGCCUAAUACAUGCAAGUCGAGCGAACACACGAUAAGCUUGCUCCCUUGACGUUAGCGGCUGACGGGCGAGUAACACGUGCAUAACCAUCUUAUUAUACUUGGAUAAUUUCGUGAAACCGGUGCUACUACUAGCUAAAAUAUCGUACCGCAUGGUUCAGUAGUGAAUCACGGCUUUCCUGUUUCUUUUAGAUGGUUCCGCGUCGCAUUAGCUAGUUGGUAAGGUAACGGCUUACCAAGGCUACGAUGCGUAGCCGACCUGAGAGGAUGAUCGGCCACACUGGAACUGAGACACGGUCCAGACUCCUACGGGAGGCAGCAGUGGGGAAUAUUCGGCAAUGGGCGAAAGCCUGACGGAGCAACGCCGCGUGAGUGAUGAAGGUCUUCGGAUCGUAAAGCUCUGUUAUUAGGAAAGAAAAGAAGUGUAAGUAACUACGGACGUCUUGACGGUACCUAAUGAGAAAGCCACGGCUAACUUCGUG
rnacentral:rRNA from 1 species